UGAUGUGAUCAUACAAGCACUAACGAACCUAAUUCCAUUAGAACUUUGAAGUUAAGCGUGCUUGAGUAAGAGCAGUGUUAGGAUUGGCUGAUCCUCUAGGAGGUCCUUGUGUUGCAUCUC
rnacentral:rRNA from 1 species